rnacentral:rRNA from 1 species
UACAGAGGGGCAAGCGUUAUUCGGAAUUAUUGGGCGCAAAGGGCGCGUAGGCGGCCUGACAAGUGGAAGGUGAAAUCCCUCGGCUCAACUGAGGAACUGCCCUCCAAACUGUUUGGCUUGAGACCGGGAGAGGUGAGUGGAAUUCCCAGUGUAGCGGUGAAAUGCGUAGAUAUUGGGAGGAACACCAGUGGCGAAGGCGGCUCACUGGACCGGUACUGACGCUGAGGCGCGAAAGCGUGGGGAGCAACAGGG